GUUGCUAGCUCUUCAUCACCUCGACAUACAAUCAAGAUAGAUAAAAUGAGUUCUUCCGGCCCGCAGGGGCCAACUCCUUUUGCCGGACGCGUCGGCCCAGCCUUAAAAGGUGCGAUGGCCAGACAUCCAGGUCCAUGGGAAUCACCUCAACAACCUACAACUGCGGAUGCUUCAAACCGCAGCCAAGAAAGUACUGGCUGCGUCGAGGACUGGUUGGAUAUUUUCUGCUGCUGCUGCCUCUUCAAAGCCUGCUUCUGAUUGAUGAUCAGAACCAUAUUGCGGUGUAUGAACUGAAGGGCGCUUAUUUUAUAUUUGCCACGAAGAGAUUUCAGAAUUUCCUAUCUCUUUCAAUUGUCUGCGUUUUGGUGGUAAAUAAUAUAUGUGGACUGAUUUGUUUAUGUUCGUUUAAUAUAUAGGAAGCUGCUUCGAUGUCGCCUGUACGUAUACGUGAUCAUGAGUUUCAUUUGAAUUCAAUAUGUCAAUUGCGAAUACUUCAAAAGUAAAUCUGUCAACUUAA